CCCCCGCUUCCUCCCGCCCGCGCCGCGCGUGCACUCCGCGACCGUUAGCCUCUGGCGCAGUCCUCACGCAAACGGUCUCUGCCUGCCCUGGAGGCAGGCUCCUGCCCACCCGGCUAGGGCAGAAAUCCUUCCUCUUUCAUUCUCGAUUUCAGAGCCCAGAGGUUUUGCGUUAAGACCCAGUUGCCAGAGCCACCUUCUGGCCUCAUCAUCUUGGAUUUCGUUUAAAAAGAAAUUAGAACAGCGAGUUGGCAACAGAUCUGCUGUGAAAGUUGUGAUCCUUUAAAGGACAUAUAAUCUGCUGUGCUUUUCAAAACUCCAAAAUAGUAAUGACCACAGUGCGCUGAGCCAAGUGAGGGAUUCAGAAGUCAUCACUCUGGCAGGCACCGGCCUGUGCGCUUGUCCUCUGGUGAGGAGAGAAACUUUCCGUUGCGCUGCCCCUCCAGCCUCCUCAAGAGCAAGGAUGGGGAGGGCUUCCAGAGGCCAGCUCAUCAGCUCUGGUGCUGAAUCAGCCCAAGAAUUUUUAACUACAGGAGAAAAAUGGAUCACACUGGAGGACAUUCUCCUUGAAGAGAACUUCACCCUGGCCUAAUCAGAGAUGCAAAUUUCUGAGGACAAGAAAUGUUCUUGCUUGACAACAAAAUGAGACCCAAGCAUGAAACCAGCUUUGGGUCACUUAUUCCAAGUUGCUGGAACAAGUAUCUGUGAAAGAAAUCGAGCCCAUUUCAGUAGGAAUGGUCAGUUCUUAAAUUAGAAAGUGGCAAGGAUCUUACAGACCAUAUAAUCAUCUCUCGCAGUGUUCCUACGUCUAUGGCAGCAAGCAGAGCUUCGGAAGGUUUCCUGUCAUACUGACAAGCAAUUUGGGGAGUGUACAAACAAUGUCAAGACCAGGGUAAAGCCUUCCCAGCCCAGCCUGCGCAGGCAGAUGACAAAGGAAGAAUAGGCGUCUGUCGGCCCAAGCAACGACUUCGUGUGUCUCCUCAGAAAAGCAUCUGUGAUUGGAAUUUGCCAACAGUUCCACCAAACCACGCUGGACCAGCACAUCAGGGAGAAAGGGAAGAAUGAUUCAAGUUGGAUCUACUUUCCAUAUUUGUGAGUCUCCUGGCAGAUGCAAAUGAAUAACUACUUACAGCUGCCAAAAAGAACGUCACUUCUCUAGGGAUGCUGCGGACCAUACAGGUGACUUUUCUGUCCUUACCCUGUCAGAGAGAGGAAUCAGAAUUUUCUAUUUUUCCACAGCAAGGGGAUCUCAAAACCUGUAAUUACAAAAAUAUAUAAAAACAUAUAAUCCAGCACAUUUGUUUGAAUAAUACAGUCCUUUAAUUACAGAUAUACCAUAAUUCUUAAUUUUUUGAGAAAAUGUGAUUACUGCCAUUUCUUCAUUAGACUACAGUUUCACUGUUUAAGAAAAUUUUAUUUUAAAGGCAUGGUAUUAUCCACUUACUCCACAUUGAUAAAAACCCCAACAAAGCAUAAGCAAACACUUGAAUGCUCUCUUCCUAGCAACCAAGGUCCUUCAUCAGAAAAGCAGCAUAUCUGUUUUUUUCUGUACCUUGUAUUAAGCCAAAUUUCUAGUUCGCAACCCUUCCACCAUUCAAUAACCAUCAAAUUCCCAGAAUAUCAUUUUAGGUGAAAGUCUGAGCCAGUGACUAAGCCACCACUGUUCAUUUUCUAAAAGAAAUUGAAUUUUGUUUUCAAAAACACCACAUGAGAAACAUGAGCGCCCUCAGCUUUAAUAUUACAGCAAACCCAUCUAUCAAGCCGUCAAGAACAACUUUGGGCCAAAAUUCUGCAUUGGAUACAUCUAAGUCCCUAUUUGAAUAUCUGUGUUACCACUACUUACUUGUAAUACUACGGCCAAGGGGCCAGAUUUGCAGAAUUUUGUUUAUCCUUCACUUCCACUGGCAGAAAUACAAAAAGAUUAAUAUUAGGCACUAAGCCUCUUCACGUUUACUAACUUGCUCUGCAACUUAACUCUUCAAAUUACUGGCAACAUUUUAAAAAGUGCUGAGCUUCUGCAGUUCCCACUACAGUGAGCAGGAAAUACAGAUUACUCGGUACUCCCUUGGGAUUUACCUCUAUCUUUACAGGCUGAUAUACCUGUACUGUUUCUACUGCAGAAACAGUUAUUUUGGAUCUCUUAUUAUCUCUGUGGGAUGCCAGGAACUCCCCAAAAGCCCCAAAGCACAAAGAAAUGUAAUGUUAAAUAACAAUGAGUGAGCAGUGGUAGUUAAACAAAAAUAAUGGCAGUUUUGAAGUUUUUUCAACAAACCCUUUCUUCAGUGACAUACCUCCUCUUUUCUCCCAGAAGAAAAUACUGAAACUAACAGAAUCUUCUCCUUCUCUACAUCCUUCAUUUUCUUAUGUAAGGUUAUUUUCCCCUUUCUUUCUUUUCUUAUGUGAAGGAGACCUAUGGUCUUGCUACUGACUCUUCAAGAAAAGGAGAGCAGCAACUGGGGAAUCAGUCUUCUGUGGAAAAGAGGAAAAAUAGGAAGUAAGAGGAUGUGUCCUUCUGGACACUCGUCGUGUGGUCAAGAAGCCAGCUUUCCCCACUUUUCCCAAAAGUCUUCAGGUGAAUGUCCAGAGAAGUACAUUUUCUCCCCAGCCAUUCUUGCCAACAUCAGGGUAUACUGCAGCAUUCAAGACUGCUGGUGCCAUGUCAUUUCAGAGCCUCCAACAUCAGCUUAGUAUAUUAAAUAAUGCUGUUCCCAAGGAAGGAGAAAUAUCUGCAAGUGGAAUGGCACAGAAUAAUAGCGAGACAUGAGGAGUAGACACACACCUAAGUAUUAAAUGCUUGGGAGGAGUGGGCAGCAUUGGAGUGAUUCUUACUUCUGUGCCAAAUGUGCUUCAUCACAUGGAAGUCCCAUCAGAUUAUUUGUCUGUUUACCAUCGCUUAACAUUUUCAUAGCUUAUUUUAGUAUUUUUGCAGUUAGUAUUAAUGCAUUUGCAUCUAGUAUUUUGCAUUUUGUUUCAACUUUAAUAAAUUAUUUAUGAGUUUAGGAUUACUAACAAUUUGAAGCUUCAUUACAAACUACCCUGGGGCCUCUCACCUGCCUUGUCCCAUUAACUUAUUAUUCCCAAAUAUCUAAUUUACAUUUAAUAAGAUAUCAAUUGAACAUUGAUAAAAUAAUAAUGAAUUAAUAAAAUAUAUCUUCAUAGAGGUACCACUAGCUUAAAAAUGUAAGCAGACACAGUACACAGUCUGCAAGUCAUUUGUCAAAUCUCUCUGAGAAUAUUUAUUAGAAUCAUUUAGUAUUUAGAAUAUGAUAAGCUAUAACAAUAUGCAAUUGCUAUUGUCUUCAGCUAAUUCUUGUAACAAUCGUGAACCACACCAAAUUGUGAACCUGUGACAAUUUGUAAGGCAGAGUUUGGAAGUAACCAAGUGUUCUGUGUAGAUAAAAAUCCUGUCUCAAAAAUCUACAAAUGCCUAGGAGACUUCGUGUUUUCAUGAAAUGUAGUGCCAGAAUAAUUUUGAUUUGAAUAAAUAUGUAUAUAUAUUACUUUAA